UACGGGGGGAGCAAGCGUUGUUCGGAUUUACUGGGCGUAAAGGGCGCGUAGGCGGCCACUGCAAGUCAGUUGUGAAAUCUCCGGGCUUAACCCGGAAAGGUCAGCUGAUACUGCAGGGCUAGAGUGCAGAAGGGGCAACUGGAAUUCUCGGUGUAGCGGUGAAAUGCGUAGAUAUCGAGAGGAACACCUGCGGCGAAGGCGGGUUGCUGGGCUGACACUGACGCUGAAACGCGAAAGCUAGGGGAGCGAACGGG
rnacentral:rRNA from 1 species